rnacentral:rRNA from 1 species
UACGUAGGCAGCAAGCGUUGUUCGGAGUUACUGGGCGUAAAGGGUGUGUAGGCGGUUCUUUAAGUUUGGUGUGAAAUCUCCCGGCUCAACCGGGAGGGUGCGCCGAAUACUGAGGGACUAGAGUGCGGGAGAGGAAAGUGGAAUUCCUGGUGUAGCGGUGAAUUGCGUAGAUAUCAGGAGGAACACCGGUGGUGUAGACGGCUUUCUGGACCGUAACUGACGCUGAAACACGAAAGCGUGGGUAGCAAACAGG